GUACAUGUACCACAUUUUCUUUAUUCAAUCUGUCAUUGAUGGGCAUUUGGGUUGACUCCACGUCUUUGUUACUGUGAAUGGUGCUGCAAUGAAUACUCAUGCCCAUGUGUCUUUAUGAUAGAAUAAUUUAUACUUCAAAAAAUAUUAAGAUAGAACUGAUAGAACUGCAACAAUACACAAAUCUGCAAUUAUACUUAAAGAUUUCAACACUUGUCUCUCAGUAAUU
rnacentral:lncRNA from 1 species